ACUUACACAGAUGUUUUGCGUAUUUGCUUUACUCUAAGAGCUAUUUUUAAAAAAUGCUUUUCACAGGUCCAAAAAAAAAUGAAUCCACUGAUGAAACUCUGAUGAUCCUUCAUUCAGAGAACCCACCAGGAGACCCUGAUGUUAUAGCCUCUUCUGUACACUGUGUCUGGCUUGUGGUGUCCUCUCGACAUGAUGAUAAAGAAAGAGAAGUUGACAGACCUGUGCUAAAUACAAAGAACAGACAAACCAGGGUCAGUAAGCAAAAAGAAUGAAUGAACUCCGUGGUAGACUGCUGUAUAUUUGGUGAUGCUUUCUUGGGAAGCACAAUGAGAAGACACCGGAGGUGAGGUCAGACUGUCAGACCCUUAUUUGUCCAACAAUGGGUAAAUCACAGUGCUGCAAGCAAGAUAAGCAUGGGAAUGAGAAGCAUCAUUAAUGCGCCACCCAAGAUGUUCUAUCCAAAUGUAGGACAGAGGAGAUCAGAUUUCAGCAAUUUGCCAACCUUGAGUUCUUUAAGAAAUCCCAAGUGCUCAACAGAGGCAAUGUCUCAAGUGACUGCUCUCUGUGGUGCUGUGCACCGUUACAUGUACAUGUGAACCGAAGUUCCUCUAUUUAUUUUCUGCCUUUAUUCUAUGGUGUCACAUGUCAGCAGCUAUCUUGUGACUGAAGAAACAUCUUCAGAUUUUGAGAGGGAUUUUCAAGGCGGAAAGAUUCAUCAAAUGAUUCAGCAAGACAUCUUCAUCCACACCAAAGUUUGAGGCUGUAUUCGGCAAUGAAGGCUUCAACUGAUGUGAAUGUGCUACCUGCUCCCGUCUAAACAGACUACGCUGAGGACUUCUGGUUAUUCCCCCC